CUAAGCGUACACGGUGGAUGCCUUG
rnacentral:rRNA from 1 species